AGCCAUGCAUGUUUCCGCAAUCAGGGACGAAUAGCUCAGUAAAACUGCGAUGAUUUAGUCUGGCUGUGUAGAUAACUACGUGAAAAUGUAGCUAAGGGAAGGCAGAAUAAGACGCAGGACUAUCAGUUAGUUGGUAGUGUAAUGGACUACCAAGACAGUGACGGUUGACGGGAAAUUAGGGUUUUGUACCGGAGAGGGAGCCUGAGAGAUUGCUCCCACGUCCAAGGACGGCAGCAGGCGCGAAAAUUGCCCACUCUUUGCAGGAGGCAGUUAUGAGACGUGAAGAUGAGUAUCUUGUAAAGAGGGAUAGGAGAAUUGGAGGGCAAGUUUGGUGCCAGCAGCCGCGGUAAUACCGACUCCAAGAGUGUGUAUGAGAGAUGCUGCAGUUAAAAAGUCCGUAGUCAUAGAAGGGCAAAGAGAGACGCGAGGUCUCACAGUGCGAUGAUGGAGGAGCCGAUGGGGAACAUAGUAUACCAGGGCGAGA
rnacentral:rRNA from 1 species